rnacentral:misc_RNA from 1 species
UCGAACCAUGUCAUGCUGCGGGAUCCCCUCCGUAAUACACACAACCAGAUCCAUCUCUGCCUCCAUCGCCUCCAUAAUAGCGGCCGCGGCAAACGGCGGCGGCACAUAGAUGACGGACGCAUUCGCCUUUGUCUCCGCCUUGGCCUCCGCCACCGAAUUAAACACCGGAAGCCCCAAGUGCUCCGUCCCGCCCUUCUUUGGCGUCACGCCGCCAACCAUUUUGGUGCCGUAUUCAAUGGCUUGUUCGGUGUGGAAGGUGCCAGUCUUGCCGGUUAUGCCCUGGCAGAUGACGCGGGUGUUCUUGUCGACGAAGACGGCAGGCGGAGGGGUGGUUGCGGCGGCGGCCGUAAAACGGCGUGAGGGGGAGAGGAGGGAGGGGGUUUUGAGAUUGGAGGAGAGGGAUCGGAUCAGAUUCGCCGCACGCCGAGCCAUGUCGUCGCCGAUCCGUCUGGAACGGGGGAGUAACGGCG